rnacentral:tRNA from 1 species
GACCUCGUAGCUCAGUUGACUAGAGCGUUAGCUGUACUAAAACCUUCCUCUUUCCUUCAUGGGUUCGAAUCCCACCGAAGCCG